CCGGGCCAUAUUAUUAAAGAUUGUCCUACUCGUCCCCAGAAUCGUCAGGCUAAUGCUUAUCAGGCUACUGUGGGUUCCUCUUCUUCUGCUACUGCGAGCGAUUCUUCUACUCUUACUACAGAGAUGGUUCAGCAAAUGAUUAUUUCAACAUUUUCAGCCUUAGGGCUGCAAGGAUCAGGUGUCGGGCCAAAUACUCGCGAAGGGGCCUAAAGUUGGACGUUUAUUUCCUCUACAUUUUUCUCUUCCUGCUGUUAUUUCGUUUGCUUGUCACACUGUGAACAAUAAGUAUGAAGUAUGGCACAAACGGUUGGGUCAUCCUAAUUCCGUUGUUUUAUCUCAUGUAAUAAAUUCUGGUUUGUUGGGCAAUAAAGAUAAUUUUUCUUCUCAUCUUUC